AGGGCAGUUCCCCUGCACACACUCUCUUGCUUGCUGCCAUGUAAGAAGUGCCUUUGCUCCUCUGCCUUCUGCCAUGAUUGUGAGGCCUCCCCAGCCAUGUGGAACUUUGGAGUUGCCAUGGCACCCAGAAAACCAGAGAUCCUGGUAAGAAGGUUUUAAAAAGCUUAUGUGAAGAAAGAAUUCAACCAAGGGGAAUAAGGCAGAGGGAGAAACUGAGGCAAGUUUAAGGGCAGGAGUGGAAAUAUAUUAAGAAGUUUUAGAGCAAGAAUGAAAGGAAGUGAAGUACACUUGGAAGAGGGCCAAGCGGGUGACUUGAGAGAUCAAGUGCGAGGUCUUGCUCUGUCGCCCAAGAUGGAGUACAGUGGUGCAAUCACGGCUCACUACAGCCUCGACCUUCAGGGCUCAAAUGAUCCUCCCACCUUAGCCUCCUGAGUAGCCGGGACUACAGCCAAUCCACAAAUGAAUGCUAUCAGCCGUGCCCCCGAUCAUAUCCCAACCAUCCAUGUUUGGCUACUCCAUUGCUAGCCCAACCUUGCAUCUCAUGCCUGCGUUAU